CCUACGGGAGGCAGCAGUGGGGAAUAUUGCACAAUGGGGGAAACCCUGAUGCAGCGACGCCGCGUGAGUGAAGAAGUAUUUCGGUAUGUAAAGCUCUAUCAGCAGGGAAGAAAUAGCGACCUUUGGGUCGCCAGACGGUACCUGACUAAGAAGCUCCGGCUAACUACGUGCCAGCAGCCGCGGUAAUACGUAGGGGGCAAGCGUUAUCCGGAUUUACUGGGUGUAAAGGGAGCGUAGACGGCAGCACAAGUCUGAAGUGAAAUGCCGGGGCUUAACCCCGGGACUGCAUUGGAAACUGUGCAGCUAGAGUACAGGAGGGGUAAGUGGAAUUCCUGGUGUAGCGGUGAAAUGCGUAGAUAUUAGGAGGAACACCAGUGGCGAAGGCGGCUUACUGGACUGUAACUGACGUUGAGGCUCGAAGGCGUGGGGAGCAAACAGGAUUAGAUACCCCUGUAGUC
rnacentral:rRNA from 1 species